GCUCACUCUCUGGAGAUGAUGGGAUUUGGAAAAGUCAUGCUCUCUGCAUCUAUGUGAUGUUUUCAAGGACUAUGGCCCAGCAAAGAAGGACAAUAAAUGUCAAGCCGCCUAUUGACAUAAAUUACUGCAGCUCUAUGGAAUCUGCAGGGCAUUCAUGCAUUUGGAGCCACUGGAUGGGGUGGGUGUAACACCGAGAUGAACUUCUUUGAAAACCUGUGAAUGCCCUUGAACCCAGAAGCCAUCCCAUAAGUUACC
rnacentral:lncRNA from 11 species